rnacentral:rRNA from 1 species
GGAAAAGUAAAUAUUGUUGGUUUAACAGUUAAAUUUAUAUAUUCCAUUAAUUUUAAAAUUUUUAGGUGAAAUUUUAAUUUUAUUUUAAGAGGUUUAUUUGAAACUGUGAAAUUUAUUUUAAAAACAAGGAUUAGAUACCCUUUUAUUUUAAAUGUAAAUAUUAACCUGGGUAGUAAUAGUUAUGAUCUUGAAACCCAAAGAAUUUGGCGGUAUUUUAUUCUUUUUAGAGGAACCUGUCCUGUAAUUGAUAAUCCACGAUAGAUAUUUACUUGUUCUUGUAUUCAUUUUGUAUACCUCCGUCAUCAGAGUAUCUUUUUAGAGAGAAUAUUCAGUUAAUACAAAAUAUUAUAUGUCAGGUCAAGGUGCAAUUUAUGGAUAAGUAGAGAUGGGUUACAAUAAAUAUAUUUAUACGAAUUAAUAUUAAUAUUAAUAUUAUGAAGGUGGAUUUAAAAGUAAAAUUAUUUCUUUGAUAUUUUGAUUUUAGCUCUAAAAUAUGCACACAUCGCCCGUCACUCUUAUUUUAAAAUAAGAUAAGUCGUAACAUAGUAGGUGUACUGGAAGGUGUACCUAGAAAGGUAU